GGUAACGGAGAAAACAAACGGGCAGAUGGUUGGUCAGUGAUAAUUCACUUAGAGCUCAAAUAAAGGACAUGCUGGAAUUUCCUGGGUGUGGUUUUUUCCCCUUCACCUUUAGCUACAAGAGAGUGCCAAGGAAAGAAAACUGAAUAAUUCUCCCUUCUGCUGUGAACUUGUCCUUUCAGACACAAGGCGAUAACGACACCACUGUGCUCUGACACCCGUUAUCUCUAAUGGCUUGCAGCGCACCACGACCUCUUUCCUGUGAUGCUGUGAUGUGCGG